rnacentral:ncRNA from 2 species
ACGCAAUUCCGGGGUCGGUGAAAGUCCGAGCCGGCGGUGAUAGCCCGCGACCCGAACGAAGGCGAUGCCUUUGUUCGGUUGAACCAGUGAAAUUCUGGUGCCGACAGUAAAAGUCUGGAUGGGAGGAAAGGCGU